UCUCGGCUCACUGCAACCUCCGCCUCCCAGGUUUCAGCAGUUCUCUCUGCCUCAGCCUCCUGAGUAGCUGGGAUUACAGGCACCUAUCACCACGCCCAGCUAAUUUCUUUUUGUAUUUUUAGUAGAGACGGGGCUUCACCAUGUUAGCCAUGCUGGUCUCAAACUCCUGAUCUCAGGUGAUCUGCCCACCUCAGUCUCCCACAGUGCUGGGAUUAUAGGCAUGAGCCACCUCGCCCAGCCAGAAAUGUGCCUUCCUGAGACCUGAAGAGCAAACACAUCCAAUGCUGAGCUAAGGGACAGGAGGCAGAGAGAAGAGGGAAUCUGUACCAAAUUCUUUUUUGGUUUUUUUUUUUUGAGACAGAAUCUCACUCUAUCGCCCAGGCUGGAGUGCAGUGGCUCAAUCUCGGCUCACUGCAACCUCCACCCAACUUCAAGUGAUUCUCCUGCCUCAGCCUCCCAAGUAGCUGGGACUACAGGUACACACCCCCACACUCAGAAGUUCUGCAACAAGAAGGUGAAAUAGGUUCUGAACAUUAAGCAGUAAGAAGUUAUGAAGGGCACGUUUGCCUGGUAGCACCUCCCAGGUAGACCAGGGCACUCUCUGCUUUUGAAAAGCCCGUUAGGGGCCUGAGCUCACCUGCAGUUCCAGCUGUGGGAGGAGACAGGGACUGAGACACAUGUCUGAGGCUGGCUUUACACCCUCCUGCCAUCCCAGCCACCAGCCAACUGCAGCCACACGAAUAAGCCAAGGAGAGCCCAGCCCAGACUGGCCACCCACAGGACCAUGAGCAAACAGACACUUGUUCUAAGCCACUAAGUCUUGGGGUGGUUUGCCAUACAGCAAUUCACAACUGAUACGGUUACCAAGUCCUUUGCUGAGUCCCCACUAGCCAAUGCCAGCAUCCUGGGUGGCAGGACUGAGCCCUCAAAUGCUCUGUCCACUCUUCCCAUCUAGAAGCCCCAGGACAGAGUGCAGGGUGUGGAAAGGCAGCAGGAGCGUGGGAGAUGGAUGAAGUGCUAGGGCCUCCACCUCCACCCUAUUUCCAUCACUCAUAUCCCAAUGAAAUGUGGAGGGAGGUACCUAUGGGGACAGAGGUGGCCCAAUCUCUGAGCUUUCCCAUUUUGAGGGUCAAUAGAACAUAAAAAUGCAUCCCACCUGGACACAGUGGCUCCAGUCCAUAAUCCCAGCACUUUGAGAGGCCAAGGCAGGAGGAUCACUUAAGCCCAGGAGCUCAAGAUCAGCCUGGGCAACAUAACAAAACCCCUGUCACUACAAAACAUUUUUUAAAAAUUAGGCAAGGUGGUGGAUACCUUUAGUCCCAGCUACUCAGGAGACUGGGGCAGGAGGAUCCAUUGAGCCCAAGAAUUCGAGGCUGCAGUGAGCUAUGAUUGCACCACCACUGCACUCCAGCCUGGGCAACAAGUGUAAGACCCUGUCGCAAAAAAAAAAAAAAAAAAAAAAAACUCGAGUCCAGUGAGGACCAGGAAGGCUGAGAGUUCUUUAGAAGUCUGUACUUACACAGCCAAUCUCAAAGCAGAACAGGGCAAUCAAUAAUGAAUGCUGCCAGGUCCCUCUUAGAACUGUUCCCCCAAGCCAGGUGCACUGGCUUGUACCUGUAAUCCCAGAAUUUUAGGAGGCCAGGUCAGGCGGAGCACUUGAAGUCAGGAGUUCCAGACCAGCCUGGCCAACACGGCAAAACCCUGUCUCUACUAAAAAUACAAAAAUUAGCCAGGUGUGGUGGCAUGUGCCUGUGAUCCCAGCUACUUGGGAGGCUGAGGCAGGAGAAUUGCUUGAACCCGGGAGGCAGAGGUUGCAGUGAGCUGAGAUUGCACCCCUGGACUCCAGCCUGCGUGACAGAGCAAGACUCCAUCUUGGGAAAAAAAAAAAAGAACUGCUUCCCCUAAAUUUCUAAUUCUGUCAUACAGCCCCUCGGGUCCUCCCUGCCAGGGCAGCAGCCCACAGAAUGGACAUCCCUCUUCUCAUCUUUCCCCGAUCAAAAUGUCCCCAUCUUCUGCGGCAUUCGCUUUAGGCCCUGAUUCUCUGUUCUUGAUGGUAACAAGCAGAUUUUUUUCCUCAGUUAUGUGCUUGUAUUUUAGCAAGGACCUUUGGGAAAUACAAGGCCUUCAUUCAAAGGACUGACUAACGGUAGAAUCCGAGGCACAGAGGCAGGUUGAUGCAGAGCUAUUUAGGUGCAGGAGAGCCUCAGAGCUCCCAUUAAAUCACAGCCAUGGCUGACCUGAUGGAAAAGAAUGUAUUGUCCUUCCCAUGAAGUUUUCACCCGCAAACCAGUAUGCUGCUGUCAGGUAUAGGGUUAAGUCGUUAGGAAUGUGCUUAAGCCUGGGCAACAUAGUGAGACCCUGCCCCUACAAAACAAUUUAAAAAUUAGCCAGGCAUGGUGGCACGCACCUGUGGUCCCAGCUACUCGGGAGGCUGAGGCAGGAGGAUUGCUUGAGCCCUGGAGGCUGCAGUGAGCUGUGACUGUUUCACUGCCACCCUUGUCUGGGAGCAAGAAUUUGUCUCAAAAAAAAAAAAAAAAAAAAGAAUGUGUUUACCAAAUCAUUGGAUGGAUGGAUGGAUGGAUGGAUGGAUGGAUGGAUGGAUGGACAGAGCCCAAACAAGAAUGGAACAAAAGACCUUGAUCUCAUCAGCCCUUGACCUCAUUCAAUCUUCCAAACUCUGAGAGUCCAGGCAGAAGACAAGAGGUUCCCAGCAUUCCUUCCUUGAAAUGUCAGCUUAGGGUCCUCUCCAGGUGCAGAUCUAAGAGAGAGGUCAGGCAUCUCCUCCAAGAACUUGUCCUCAGCACUCACUACCUUGGACCAGCAGGGCAGCUUCUCCCCAAGGCUGUCCUAUAAACACUAGGGUCAGGGAGCAGGGCGUGCUUCCCUGCACCCAUUCUAUCCCACACCCCAAGUCCCACGGAAGUGCAUGCUUCUGGAAAGAGCCUGAAAUAGUUACAUGAUUCUGUCUCCAUUUCUCAUUCCCCCUCCUGCGCUUAAGUGCCUAUUAGGGACAAAGGGACAGGAACAGAGGACAAUAACAUCUGUUUUUCCAACAAGCUGGUGACAAUGCGGAUCUGGAGGCGGAGCGUGCGUCAGCACUGGGGCCCAGAUGCAGCCCUGCAGCUGCAGAAGCAACUGGCACUCCAUCAUUUCACAGGGAGAUCACCCCAGUCAGCAGCUCCUAACUCGCUGGCAUGCAUCCUCGCCCGGGGAGCCAUUACUGCUCUCCCUAGAUCAGGCUAACCUCUCACUUUUGUUUUUUUUAAUCUCUGGUGGCCUUCAGCAGGACCCUGGAAGCCACAAGUCCUCCAACCUUAGUCCUACCGUCUCAAGGUCAGGGCCAAGGACAGGACACAGAGCAUGGCUGGAAAAGCACUGGGUUAGAAGUCAAAGGACUUGGCUUCUCAUCCCAGCUCUGCCAUUGGCUCUGAGACCUUGGGCUGCUGUGUCUGUGUGGGGACAUUGAGAGCAAGGUGUUCAACUUGCUGAAGGAGCCUCAGUUUCCUCAUCUAUAAAAUGGGAGCUAUCAUACCUCAGUCAUGGAAUUGCUAAGAGUCUCAAGUGUGAGAACUGACACAUGUGAUCCUAAGUCAGCGCAAUAACUGGGAGCGAGCAGAUGAGCCAUGGCAGUGUGUGUUUCUGCAGGUAACUUGGAGGCCACUCGUGCCUAAAGCUGACUCCAAUACCCAGGCACGGCUGAGAUGUUUUCCAGCAGUCAGACUGCACAAAGCAAAUAGAAUCAACCAUCCAUUCACCAGGUAUGGUGGUUCACGCCUAUAAUCCCAGCACUUUGGGAGGCCGAGGCGGGUGGAUCACGAGGUCAAGAGAUCGAGACCAUCCUGGUCAACAAGGUGAAAGCCCGUCUCUACUAAAAACAAAUUAGCUGGGCAUGGUGGUAUGUGUCUGUAGUCCCAGCUACUCGGGAGGCUGAGGCAGGAGAAUUGCUUGAACCCAGAAGGCAGAGGUUACGGUGAGCCGAGAUCGUGCCAUUGCACUCCAGUCUGGGUAACAACAGUGAAACUCCGUCUCAAAAAAAAAAUUAGCUGGGUGUGGUAGCACGCACCUGUAGUCCCAGCUACUCAGGAGGCUGAGGCAAGAGAAUCACUUGAACACAGGAGGUAGAGAUUGCAGUGAGCUGAGAUUGUGGCACUGCACUCCAACCCUGGAAACAGAGAGACUCUGUCUGAAAAAAAAAGCUAUCAAACUAUGGAGACCCCCGAGUCCCUGUCUCUGAUGGAGCCCCUCAAUCCUACCUCUUCUCCAACACCCAAGGCCACCAGCACGACAAGCUGGCCAUGUGCCUGGAAGGCUCAGGAGAACCAUGGAAAGGGUUAAGAGAGGGAAAGGCGAGGAGAGGCUGGAAAGAGGAUGGGAGAUGAAGACAAUAACAAAAGAGGCAGCUGUGACUCUUUCAACAUUUUAAAAGAGAUUGAAAUUGAAAAUGAGAUUUAUAAAAAGGCAACCCAUCACGCUUUGCUCCCCCCUUCAAAAGAAAGAAGUGUUGAAAAUGAAAAAGACUUUUAACCAAAUGAGUGCUGCGUUUAGAGUUAGAAGAGAACCGGUCCGGGUCAUGUGUAGUGCUGCUGCGUGGUGGCUGUGACCCCCAGCAAGUCACUGGCCCACUCCACCCAUGAAACAAGCCGAGCACACACUUCUCAGGGCCAUGGGGAGGGCACCGUGAGAGGCGCAUGGAGAAGGCUUUGGUGAACCCCAGGUUGCUUCCCAGCCGGACCCAGCGUCUGGUGGCUCUCACUGCGACUGUGGUUAGGCAGCCUUGACAGGCUGUUGUCAUUCCCACCACUGAGAGAGACAAGGGAAUGAGUAUCAAGGAUCACCCAGGGCAGGCAGUGAGGUUUCCAGGUCAGGGCCUGUCCUGGGGAAACCCAUCUUCUCACACCUCUCAUGCAGUGAGAUUAGUUGCAUCCACUGUGAUGGCCAGGGACACCGAUUACACCGUGCUCUGCCCUGCUUGAUCGACUUUGUUAUCUUCGUUCCUCACCAUCCCCUCCCUGUUCCUUCUUGGAAAAGGAAUGGCUCUUCUCAGCAGAGCCACCCAGCCCCUGCACCCAGCCUCUGUGCCGAGCUCGAAGGAUACCGAAUGGUUCUACCUCCUCCUUGCCUCUACCCAGAGGGGCUCUGAGCGACCCUCACAGCCUCCAUGGUUUCCCCUUAUCCUCCCUGGAGCUGCAUAAAGACUGGUUGCCCAGUCAAUGAGAUGGCUUUACCAGGUGUCACUGAUUGCAUUGGGUUCCAUUCAUGUUCGGCACCUACUGAAUUCCCAGGACAAUAACUGCCCCACUGGGGGAUACAGGAGGUGUCCCCACAUUUACAUAAAUGUACACACAUAUUUGCACACAUGCACAUGGGAAAUAUUUAUUUUUAGAGACAGGGUCUCAUUCUGUCACCCUGGCAAGAG